rnacentral:rRNA from 1 species
UACCUGCAGCUCAAGUGGUGACCACUAUUAUUGGGCCUAAAACGUUCGUAGCCGGUUUAUUAAAUGCUUGGGUAAAUCGUGUAGCUUAACUAUACGAAUUCCGGGUAGACUGAUAGACUUGAGACCGGGAGAAGCUAGAGGUACUCCUGGGGUAGAGGUGAAAUUCUGUAAUCCUGGGGGGACCACCAGUGGCUAAGGCGUCUAGCUAGAACGGGUCUGACGGUGAGGAACGAAGCCCUGGGGCGCAAACCGGAUUAGAUACCCGGGUAGUCCAGGGUGUAAACGCUGCUUGCUUGAUGUUAGUUGGGCUCCGAGCCCAAUUAGUGUCGGAGAGAAGUUGUUAAGCAAGCUGCCUGGGAAGUACGAUCGCAAGAUUGAAACUUAAAGGAAUUGGCGGGGGAGCACAGCAACGGGUGGAGCGUGCGGUUU